GCCAGGCGCGGUGGCGCGUGCCUGUAGUCCCAGCUACUCCGGAGGCUGAGGUGGGAGGAUCAUUUGAGCCCAGGAGUUCUGGGCUGUAGUGUGCUAUGCUGAUCAGGUGUCUAUACUAAGUUCAGCAUCAAUAUGGUGACCUCUCGGGAGUGGGGGACACCAGGUUGCCUAAGGAGGGGUGAACUGGCGCAGGCUGGAAAUGGAGCAGGUCAAAACUCCUGUGCUGAUCAGUAGUGGGAUCGCACCUGUGAAUAGCCACUGCACUCCAGCCUGGGCAACACAGUGAGACCAUCUCU
rnacentral:SRP_RNA from 1 species